rnacentral:rRNA from 1 species
UAGGUGAUGGACAACAGGUUGAUAUUCCUGUACUACCGAUAACCGUUUGAGAGAUGGGAUGACACAGUAGGAUAAGCUAAGCACACUGUUGGUUAUGUGUGCCCAAGCAUUGAGGCAGUCAAAGUAGGUAACUCCGCUUUGAUAAUGCUGGGAUGGGAUGGGGAGCGAAAUUUAGUAGCGAAGUAGCUGAUUUCACACUGUCAAGAAAAGUCUCUAUCGAGGUUAAAGGUACCCGUACCGCAAACCGACACAGGUGGGUGAGGAGAGUAUCCUAAGGCCAGCGAGAGAACUGUUGUUAAGGAACUCGGCAAAAUGACCCCGUAACUUAGGGAUAAGGGGUGCCACCAUCAGGUGGCCGCAGAGAAUAGGCCCAAGCGACUGUUUACCAAAAACAUAGGUUUCUGCUAAGUCGCAAGACGAUGUAUAGGAGCUGACGCCUGCCCGGUGCUGGAAGGUUAAGGGGAUCUGUUAGAGCAAUCGAAGCAGUGAACUUAAGCC